AUGGAAAAGAAAGCAAACUAUGGAAAUACACAAAGCACAAGCAGAGCAGUUAGGGGUGAGUGGAAGGUGUGGAGUUUUCUCCUGUCCUCCCAAGAAUUUCUUUCCUUCUCUUUCAGUGCUUGCUUGGCUUUUCUCCCAAAGGUUCAAUUCCAGACAAUCAACAUCCUCGUGUUGGAAAAGGCAGACUUGAAGACCACAGUUUACCAUACUAAACGUGCCGCCACUCCCUUCGAGGGAGAAUCCAAGGAUCUGACCAGCCACCUGCAAUAUUCCUUGCAGCGUAUUGGAGAGUUGGAGCGGGCUCCCUCUGCUGUCUCCAUGCAGCAGCAGGAAGAGGACAGGAACAGUGAGAACAAGAGCGCACUGCAGUUGGAGCAGCAAGUAAAGGAGCUGCAGGAGAAGAAGCUGAGCGAGGUGAAGGAGAUGGUAACCAUCCAAAGGAAGGGCUGGGAGGCGCGGCAGCCAGCCUUGGGGAAAGGGAGGUGUGAGGCCAAAGGCAGCUCCAGCCUGGGGGCAGGGAUGCCAGCACCCUUCAGGGCCAGUCCUGGUGACUGUUUCUUCUUCCUGCCCUCUGACCUUUAGAGGUGGGUAGCCCUGGGGUUCCUCCCAUGUCUGGACAUUAUAAUCCCAGCUAGAGGCAUGGAGCCUCCCAAUCAGAGGGGAAGAGACAGUGGUAUAAGAGGCUCCUUAUACCGGGGCUGGUGGCUCACGCCUAUAAUCCCAGCACUUUUGGAGGCUGAGGCAGGAGAAUCACUUGAGGUCAGGAGUUUGAGACCAGCCUAGCCAACAUCGUGAAAUCUCAUCUCUACUAAAAUUACAAAAAAAAAAAAAAAAUUAGCCAGGCAUGGUGGCACAUGCCUUUAAUCACAGCUACUCAGGAGGCUGAGGCACGAGAAUC
rnacentral:lncRNA from 1 species